GCCGGGUUGGCUCAGUUGGUAGUAGCGUUGGUCUCAUAAUCCAAAGGUCAUCGGUUCGAUCCCGAUACCCGGCA